rnacentral:rRNA from 1 species
GACCAGACUCCUACGGGAGGCAGCAGUGAGGAAUAUUGGUCAAUGGCCGAGAGGCUGAACCAGCCAAGUCGCGUGAGGGAUGACGGCCCUACGGGUUGUAAACCUCUUUUGUCAGGGAGCAACGCCGGCUACGUGUAGCCGGACUGAGAGUACCUGAAGAAAAAGCAUCGGCUAACUCCGUGCCAGCAGCCGCGGUAAUACGGAGGAUGCGAGCGUUAUCCGGAUUUAUUGGGUUUAAAGGGUGCGUAGGCGGGCUGUUAGGUCAGCGGUCAAAUGUCGGGGCUCAACCCCGGCCUGCCGUUGAAACUGGCGGCCUCGAGUGGGCGAGAAGUAUGCGGAAUGCGUGGUGUAGCGGUGAAAUGCAUAGAUAUCACGCAGAACUCCGAUUGCGAAGGCAGCAUACCGGCGCCCUACUGACGCUGAGGCACGAAAGCGUGGGUAUCGAACAGGAUUAGAUACCCGAGUAUG